rnacentral:ncRNA from 1 species
UUGGUGGUACCCGAAAAACCAUAAAAGAGUAGGGG